ACGGGGCCCGCACAAGCAGCGGAGCGUGUGGUUUAAUUCGAUGCUACACGAAGAACCUUACCCGGGUUUGACAUGCAAGUGGUAGUGAUCCGAAAGGUGAACGACCCGCAAGGGAGCUUGCACAGGUGCUGCAUGGCUGUCGUCAGCUCGUGUCGUGAGAUGUUCGGUUAAGUCCGCUAACGAGCGCAACCCUCGCUGUAUGUUACAUGUGUCAUACAGGACCGCCGGUAUCAAGCCGGAGGAAGGUGGGGAUGACGUCAAGUCCGCAUGGCCUUUAUGUCCGGGGCUACACACACGCUACAAUGGUCGGUACAAUGGGUUGCUAAGCCGCGAGGUGGAGCCAAUCCCCCAAAGCCGGCCUCAGUUCAGAUUGCAGGCUGCAACUCGCCUGCAUGAAGCUGGAGUUGCUAGUAAACGCGCGUCAGCUAUAGUGCGUUGAAUACGUUCUCGGGCCUU
rnacentral:rRNA from 1 species